rnacentral:rRNA from 1 species
GCGAGUCAGAGUUCUUCGUGAACUCGGCGGACUGCUCAGUAACACGUGGGUAAUCUACCCUAGGGUCAGGGAUAAUCCCGGGAAACUGGGAAUAAUACCUGAUAGGUGAAGAUGUCUGGAACGACACUUCGCCCAAAGCCCCGGCGCCCUAGGAUGAGCCUGCGCCCGAUUAGGUUGUUGGUGGUGUAAGGGACCACCAAGCCUGUGAUCGGUACGGGUGUUGAGAGACAUAGCCCGGAGAUGGGGGCUGAGACACGGCCCCAGGCCCUACGGGGCGCAGCAGGCGCGAAAACUACGCAAUGCGCGAAAGCGUGACGUGGGAACUCCAAGUGCCCUGCCUUCGGGUAGGGCUUUUGUUUAGUGUAAGUAGCUAAACGAAUAAGUGCUGGGUAAGACCGGUGCCAGCCGCCGCGGUAACACCGGCAGCUCGAGUGGUGAUCACUAUUAUUGGGCCUAAAGCGUCCGUAGCCUGUUUGAUAAGUCCUUGGGCAAAUCCUGUCGCUUAACGAGAGGAAUUCUGGAGAUACUGUCAGACUUGGAGGCGAGAGAGGUCGGAGGUACCUCUGGGGUAGCGGUGAAAUGCAAUAAUCCUGGAGGGACCACCAGUGGCGAAAGCGUCCGACCAGAGCGGGCUCGACGGUAAGGGACGAAAGCCAGGGGAGCGAACGGGAUUAGAUACCCCGGUAGUCCUGGCCGUAAACGCUGUGGGCUAGGUGUUGCAUGCUCUAC